rnacentral:rRNA from 1 species
GACGAACGCUGGCGGCGUGCUUAACACAUGCAAGUCGAACGAUGAAGCCGGAGCUUGCUCUGGCGAAUUAGUGGCGAACGGGUGAGUAACACGUGAGUAACCUGCCCUUGACUCUGGGAUAACUGCUAGAAAUGGUAGCUAAUACCGGAUACGACCCUCGGAGGCAUCUUCAGGGGGUGGAAAGAAUUUCGGUCAAGGACGGACUCGCGGCCUAUCAGCUAGUUGGUGAGGCAAUGGCUAACCAAGGCGACGACGGGCAGCCGGCCUGAGAGGGUGACCGGCCACACUGGGACUGAGACACGGCCCAGACUCCUACGGGAGGCAGCAGUGGGGAAUAUUGCACAAUGGGCGCAAGCCUGAUGCAGCAACGCCGCGUGAGGGAUGACGGCCUUCGGGUUGUAAACCUCUUUUAGUAGGGAAGAAGCGAAAGUGACGGUACCUGCAGAAAAAGCACCGGCUAACUACGUGCCAGCCGCCGCAGUAA